UUCCCCUUUUUCUGCUUUUGUUUGAUUCUUAUUUCCCUCAAGGCUGCUUGCAAUUUGGCUUAUCCUUGCCCAAUUUAUGCAAGGAGUUACAGGUAAAAUAUCCUUCCCUGUUUAUGUAGUUUAAUUUCAUAUUUGGCUUUUGUGUGUGUUAUUUUAACUUUCUCUUACUUAGGAGAUCCAAAAGUAUUUCCUUUGAGUCACAUGUUUUCCAUGUAUGAAAUUCUUUAGACCAGAUCAUGAUAAUUGUGUAGACUAGGAGACGAAUACAGGUUUGGUAUUAUUUUUGUUUGCUCUUUCAUCUAAUAGUUUAUAUUUCUUUUCCUCUUUCAUCUAAUAGGUAUCGCUCUGAAAUAUCUUUUUCUAGGCAUCAAGCAGUUCAGAUCUUUUACGGCACAUGAUUGACAUAUGGAAUUUCAUUUAUAUGUGAUGAAGAAUGUAGUGGUUUUUUUAAUAUCAACCAUCCGAGAAGUGAAAAGGAAAGAAGAGGUUUUAGACUUUUAGCAAGAGGUAUUUGUCCACUGGUGUAUUACUAAUACGUUUAGAGCUCUUGAAUUAUAUCAAAAUUUUCUUCUAUAUAUUAGGAGUAUUUGAUUUCUGAUAUUCCCUUUUCUUUGGCCAGCUGAUAUUGCUGAGGAAAGGAAUUAGCCAUCAUUCUUCUUCAUCAUUCAUUAUGACAAUUGCAAAUGAAAUCCAUCUACAAAAGUUGCAUGUAAGGAAGAAAUGACGAAGAUGAAAAGUACCAUAACUUUCAAGUACCAUAACUUUCAAAGGCCCGUAUCGUCUAUAUUCCAACCGAUCUCUCACCAUUUCGGCACAUGAUAUGUUCUUUUGAUGUGUGGCAGAACCAACCUGUCUUGAAUACUUUCUAAAGAUAAGUAUUUCUCAGAUUAAUAAUUCACAUCAUGAAUGGAUAGUCAUGUGCUCUAUCACCUUCCUUACAACUAUGUUGGGUAGAUGAUACUUUUUGACUUAACAUUCUUUUAGCAGCACAUUUGUCGCAGUUAUUAAGUUGUGCAUGAUAUAUCGUAGAUUGUUAAGUUCAAGUUGCUGGCUUCGUAUGAUAUCGCUAGUAAAAGAACUUAUAUCUUGUAGUUUACCUUUUUUGUAUUCAUUUGGCUAUCUCAUGGAGAUGCUAUACCCAGCAUUCAGUGUUGUUUUUCAAACUUCACUCUUUAGACACUUUCCUAUUGGAGGCUUGGAGCUCUAGACAAGGAAUUUUUAAUGAUAAGAAAAGCAAGAUUGUAAAAAUCAUAGAUCCUCAUAGAAGACAUGUUGGAAAAUACUCUGGAGUAAAAAAAAAAAAAAAAAAAAAACAUGUUACAAAAUACUAACCCUAAAGAACAAAUACUUGAAUUUCAAGACCAAUAUAAUAGCUGCUUGGUAGAUCAUUUACCCUUUGGCAUAGGCUUUUUGUAAAAUGUUUUAUGUAUUGGAGCUUAUAAUUCCUUAGGCCUACUGAUAUUUCUAUGCAGAAUUGUUAGUUUUAGAGUAGGAAAAGGAAACAUGAGUUUGAUACAUGAGGACUAAUUUGAGUUGAUGGUAAUUUAAUUUAUCAAGUUUAUGACAAAAUUAUGUAUUUGUUAGUUCAACGGGAUUGUGGUUGACUUGCUUCACUGUCUAGCAGAUAUUGUUUUUUCUGUGUGGCGAAUUCGAGAAUUGCACGGAGAAAAAAAACACAAAAAUAGCUUUGAAAUAGAAACAGAAGCAAAGCAUGAGAAGAAGAAAAUUGAAAUGGUUGCUUUAGAAGAGGAGGAGAAUGUUGUAUUGCAAUUUCAAGACUGAUCAU